CCUACGGGCGGCAGCAGUGAGGAAUAUUGGUCAAUGGGAGGAAUCCUGAACCAGCCAUGCCGCGUGCAGGACGACGGCUCUACGAGUUGUAAACUGCUUUUGUACCGGGUUAAAAUGCUCUACGAGUAGGGUUUUGAAAGUAUGGUACGAAUAAGGAUCGGCUAACUCCGUGCCAGCAGCCGCGGUAAUACGGAGGAUCCGAGCGUUAUCCGGAUUUAUUGGGUUUAAAGGGUGCGUAGGUUGUUUUAUAAGUUAGCGGUGAAAGACCGAUGCUCAAAAUCGGGGCUGCCGCGGAUACUGUAGGACUAGAGAUCGGAUGCAGCAGGCGGAAUGUGUAGUGUAGCGGUGAAAUGCAUAGAUAUUACACAGAACACCGAUUGCGAAGGCAGCUUGCUAGGCCGGAUCUGACACUGAUGCACGAAAGCGUGGGGAUCGAACAGGAUUAGAUACCCUUGUAGUC
rnacentral:rRNA from 1 species